rnacentral:rRNA from 1 species
UUUAAUUGAAGAGUUUGAUCAUGGCUCAGAUUGAACGCUGGCGGCAGGCCUAACACAUGCAAGUCGAACGGUAACAGGGAGCAGCUUGCUGCUUCGCUGACGAGUGGCGGACGGGUGAGUAAUGUCUGGGAAACUGCCUGAUGGAGGGGGAUAACUACUGGAAACGGUAGCUAAUACCGCAUAACGUCUUCGGACCAAAGUGGGGGACCUUCGGGCCUCAUGCCAUCAGAUGUGCCCAGAUGGGAUUAGCUAGUAGGUGGGGUAACGGCUCACCUAGGCGACGAUCCCUAGCUGGUCUGAGAGGAUGACCAGCCACACUGGAACUGAGACACGGUCCAGACUCCUACGGGAGGCAGCAGUGGGGAAUAUUGCACAAUGGGCGCAAGCCUGAUGCAGCCAUGCCGCGUGUAUGAAGAAGGCCUUCGGGUUGUAAAGUACUUUCAGCGGGGAGGAAGGCGUUGUGGUUAAUAACCACAGCGAUUGACGUUACCCGCAGAAGAAGCACCGGCUAACUCCGUGCCAGCAGCCGCGGUAAUACGGAGGGUGCAAGCGUUAAUCGGAAUUACUGGGCGUAAAGCGCACGCAGGCGGUUGAUUAAGUCAGAUGUGAAAUCCCCGGGCUCAACCUGGGAACUGCAUUUGAAACUGGUCAGCUUGAGUCUCGUAGAGGGGGGUAGAAUUCCAGGUGUAGCGGUGAAAUGCGUAGAGAUCUGGAGGAAUACCGGUGGCGAAGGCGGCCCCCUGGACGAAGACUGACGCUCAGGUGCGAAAGCGUGGGGAGCAAACAGGAUUAGAUACCCUGGUAGUCCACGCCGUAAACGAUGUCGACUUGGAGGUUGUGCCCUUGAGGCGUGGCUUCCGGAGCUAACGCGUUAAGUCGACCGCCUGGGGAGUACGGCCGCAAGGUUAAAACUCAAAUGAAUUGACGGGGGCCCGCACAAGCGGUGGAGCAUGUGGUUUAAUUCGAUGCAACGCGAAGAACCUUACCUGGUCUUGACAUCCAGAGAAUCCUGCAGAGAUGCGGGAGUGCCUUCGGGAACUCUGAGACAGGUGCUGCAUGGCUGUCGUCAGCUCGUGUUGUGAAAUGUUGGGUUAAGUCCCGCAACGAGCGCAACCCUUAUCCUUUGUUGCCAGCGGUUCGGCCGGGAACUCAAAGGAGACUGCCGGUGAUAAACCGGAGGAAGGUGGGGAUGACGUCAAGUCAUCAUGGCCCUUACGACCAGGGCUACACACGUGCUACAAUGGCGCAUACAAAGAGAAGCGACCUCGCGAGAGCAAGCGGACCUCAUAAAGUGCGUCGUAGUCCGGAUUGGAGUCUGCAACUCGACUCCAUGAAGUCGGAAUCGCUAGUAAUCGUGGAUCAGAAUGCCACGGUGAAUACGUUCCCGGGCCUUGUACACACCGCCCGUCACACCAUGGGAGUGGGUUGCAAAAGAAGUAGGUAGCUUAACCUUCGGGAGGGCGCUUACCACUUUGUGAUUCAUGACUGGGGUGAAGUCGUAACAAGGUAACCGUAGGGGAACCUGCGGUUGGAUCACCUCCUUACCUGAAAGA